rnacentral:rRNA from 1 species
AAGGUGAUAUGAACCGUUAUAACCGGCGAUUUCCGAAUGGGGAAACCCAGUGUGUUUCGACACACUAUCAUUAACUGAAUCCAUAGGUUAAUGAGGCGAACCGGGGGAACUGAAACAUCUAAGUACCCCGAGGAAAAGAAAUCAACCGAGAUUCCCCCAGUAGCGGCGAGCGAACGGGGAGSAGCCCAGAGCCUGAAUCAGUGUGUGUGUUAGUGGAAGCGUCUGGAAAGGCGYGCGAUACAGGGUGACAGCCCCGUACACAAAAAUGCACAURCUGUGAGCUCGAUGAGUAGGGCGGGACACGUGGUAUCCUGUCUGAAUAUGGGGGGACCAUCCUCCAAGGCUAAAUACUCCUGACUGACCGAUAGUGAACCAGUACCGUGAGGGAAAGGCGAAAAGAACCCCGGCGAGGGGAGUGAAAAAGAACCUGAAACCGUGUACGUACAAGCAGUGGGAGCCUCUUAAUGGGGUGACUGCGUACCUUUUGUAUAAUGGGUCAGCGACUUAUAUUCUGUAGCAAGGUUAACCGAAUAGGGGAGCCGAAGGGAAACCGAGUCUUAACUGGGCGUUAAGUUGCAGGGUAUAGACCCGAAACCCGGUGAUCUAGCCAUGGGCAGGUUGAAGGUUGGGUAACACUAACUGGAGGACCGAACCGACUAAUGUUGAAAAAUUAGCGGAUGACUUGUGGCUGGGGGUGAAAGGCCAAUCAAACCGGGAGAUAGCUGGUUCUCCCCGAAAGCUAUUUAGGUAGCGCCUCGUGAAUUCAUCUCCGGGGGUAGAGCACUGUUUCGGCAAGGGGGUCAUCCCGACUUACCAACCCGAUGCAAACUGCGAAUACCGGAGAAUGUUAUCACGGGAGACACACGGCGGGUGCUAACGUCCGUCGUGAAGAGGGAAACAACCCAGACCGCCAGCUAAGGUCCCAAAGUCAUGGUUAAGUGGGAAACGAUGUGGGAAGGCCCAGACAGCCAGGAUGUUGGCUUAGAAGCAGCCAUCAUUUAAAGAAAGCGUAAUAGCUCACUGGUCGAGUCGGCCUGCGCGGAAGAUGUAACGGGGCUAAACCAUGCACCGAAGCUGCGGCAGCGACACUAUGUGUUGUUGGGUAGGGGAGCGUUCUGUAAGCCUGYGAAGGUGUACUGUGAGGUAUGCUGGAGGUAUCAGAAGUGCGAAUGCUGACAUAAGUAACGAUAAAGCGGGUGAAAAGCCCGCUCGCCGGAAGACCAAGGGUUCCUGUCCAACGUUAAUCGGGGCAGGGUGAGUCGACCCCUAAGGCGAGGCCGAAAGGCGUAGUCGAUGGGAAACAGGUUAAUAUUCCUGUACUUGGUGUUACUGCGAAGGGGGGACGGAGAAGGCUAUGUUGGCCGGGCGACGGUUGUCCCGGUUUAAGCGUGUAGGCUGGUUUUCCAGGCAAAUCCGGAAAAUCAAGGCUGAGGCGUGAUGACGAGGCACUACGGUGCUGAAGCAACAAAUGCCCUGCUUCCAGGAAAAGCCUCUAAGCAUCAGGUAACAUCAAAUCGUACCCCAAACCGACACAGGUGGUCAGGUAGAGAAUACCAAGGCGCUUGAGAGAACUCGGGUGAAGGAACUAGGCAAAAUGGUGCCGUAACUUCGGGAGAAGGCACGCUGAUAUGUAGGUGAAGUCCCUYGCGGAUGGAGCUGAAAUCAGUCGAAGAUACCAGCUGGCUGCAACUGUUUAUUAAAAACACAGCACUGUGCAAACACGAAAGUGGACGUAUACGGUGUGACGCCUGCCCGGUGCCGGAAGGUUAAUUGAUGGGGUUAGCGGUAACGCGAAGCUCUUGAUCGAAGCCCCGGUAAACGGCGGCCGUAACUAUAACGGUCCUAAGGUAGCGAAAUUCCUUGUCGGGUAAGUUCCGACCUGCACGAAUGGCGUAAUGAUGGCCAGGCUGUCUCCACCCGAGACUCAGUGAAAUUGAACUCGCUGUGAAGAUGCAGUGUACCCGCGGCAAGACGGAAAGACCCCGUGAACCUUUACUAUAGCUUGACACUGAACAUUGAGCCUUGAUGUGUAGGAUAGGUGGGAGGCUUUGAAGUGUGGACGCCAGUCUGCAUGGAGCCGGCCUUGAAAUACCACCCUUUAAUGUUUGAUGUUCUAACGUUGGCCCCUKAYCGGGGUUGCGGACAGUGUCUGGUGGGUAGUUUGACUGGGGCGGUCUCCUCCUAAAGAGUAACGGAGGAGCACGAAGGUUGGCUAAUCCUGGUCGGACAUCAGGAGGUUAGUGCAAUGGCAUAAGCCAGCUUGACUGCGAGCGUGACGGCGCGAGCAGGUGCGAAAGCAGGUCAUAGUGAUCCGGUGGUUCUGAAUGGAAGGGCCAUCGCUCAACGGAUAAAAGGUACUCCGGGGAUAACAGGCUGAUACCGCCCAAGAGUUCAUAUCGACGGCGGUGUUUGGCACCUCGAUGUCGGCUCAUCACAUCCUGGGGCUGAAGUAGGUCCCAAGGGUAUGGCUGUUCGCCAUUUAAAGUGGUACGCGAGCUGGGUUUAGAACGUCGUGAGACAGUUCGGUCCCUAUCUGCCGUGGGCGCUGGAGAACUGAGGGGGGCUGCUCCUAGUACGAGAGGACCGGAGUGGACGCAUCACUGGUGUUCGGGUUGUCAUGCCAAUGGCACUGCCCGGUAGCUAAAUGCGGAAGAGAUAAGUGCUGAAAGCAUCUAAGCACGAAACUUGCCCCGAGAUGAGUUCUCCCUGACUCU